AGAGGUUGAACGGCCACAUUGGGACUGAGACACGGCCCAGACUCCUACGGGAGGCAGCAGUGGGGAAUAUUGCACAAUGGGGGAAACCCUGAUGCAGCGACGCCGCGUGGAGGAAGAAGGUCUUCGGAUUGUAAACUCCUGUUGUUGAGGAAGAUAAUGACGGUACUCAACAAGGAAGUGACGGCUAACUACGUGCCAGCAGCCGCGGUAAAACGUAGGUCACAAGCGUUGUCCGGAAUUACUGGGUGUAAAGGGAGCGCAGGCGGGAAGACAAGUUGGAAGUGAAAUCUAUGGGCUCAACCCAUAAACUGCUUUCAAAACUGUUUUUCUUGAGUAGUGCAGAGGUAGGCGGAAUUCCCGGUGUAGCGGUGGAAUGCGUAGAUAUCGGGAGGAACACCAGUGGCGAAGGCGGCCUACUGGGCACCAACUGACGCUGAGGCUCGAAAGUGUGGGUAGCAAACAGGAUUAGAUACCCUGGUAGUCCACACCGUAAACGAUGAUUACUAGGUGUUGGAGGAUUGACCCCUUCAGUGCCGCAGUUAACACAAUAAGUAAUCCACCUGGGGAGUACGACCGCAAGGUUGAAACUCAAAGGAAUUGACGGGGGCCCGCACAAGCAGUGGAGUAUGUGGUUUAAUUCGACGCAACGCGAAGAACCUUACCAAGUCUUGACAUCCUGCGACGAUGCUGGAAACAGUAUUUCCCUUCGGGACGCAGAGACAGGUGGUGCAUGGUUGUCGUCAGCUCGUGUCGUGAGAUGUUGGGUUAAGUCCCGCAACGAGCGCAACCCUUACUGUCAGUUACUACGCAAGAGGACUCUGGCAGGACUGCCGUUGACAAAACGGAGGAAGGUGGGGAUGACGUCAAAUCAUCAUGCCCUUUAUGACUUGGGCUACACACGUACUACAAUGGCGUUAAACAAAGAGAAGCAAGACCGCGAGGUGGAGCAAAACUCAGAAACAACGUCCCAGUUCGGACUGCAGGCUGCAACUCGCCUGCACGAAGUCGGAAUUGCUAGUAAUCAUGGAUCAGCAUGCCACGGUGAAUACGUUCCCGGGCCUUGUACACACCGCCCGUCACACCAUGAGAGCCGGGGGGACCCGAAGUCGGUAGUCUAACCGCAAGGAGGACGCCGCCGAAGGUAAAACUGGUGAUUGGGGUGAAGUCGUAACAAGGUAGCCGUAGGAGAACCUGCGGCUG
rnacentral:rRNA from 1 species